GGGGGGGGCGGGGGCGCGCCGCCGCCGCCGCCGCCGCGUGUUCGAGCCCGGCGGGCAGCGGCAGACGAGUCGGGCGCGGCGGCUCUUUAUUGCAGAGGCUGGGCCUUCCCUGGAGAGAGAUCUAAAGAGGAGCAACACAGAAGCUGGAGGUGGUUUGGCUGAGCAGUCAAAGCUGCUCGCAGAGCUUCAGGUAUGUCUUCAGGAAGGAGAGCCUAGCAAAUGGCCAGCAUAUGACAGCUGCUUCCAGCCUCUGCUCUCAAGUUUCUGUUCUCUUUUUAUACUAACUUUGAAGACAUAAGUACCUCGUUGAUCACAAAACCUUGCCUGGUAACAAAUGACCUGGAAGGGAGUCACUGACAGAUGUGGUAUAGGAGCGGGAAGCAGCAGUGAGAUGCUCACAUCAGCUGAGCUGAACCAUCCAGCUUCUAUAAUAUGGAGACCACCAGAAAGACCCAUCCGUGCUGUCAGCACUGGCUUCAGACCCAUUACACACUGACAACAGCCCUUCCUCUGCACUGCCUGGCCUGCACAAGCUCUGUGUCAGCCCAGAGUGAAGGACAGGUCACUGUUUAAGGAAGGGGAACAAGUUGGUGUGGCUCAGGCUCCUGGCACUGUCCCAAUGGUCUGCGAGUCCCCCCAGGACAGCAUUGGCCCCACAGCCAGAGAGACUGCAAGAGUGGAGACAAGGACACAUCAAGAUGGCUCCAGUGAGGUUGAUGCAGAAUUGUACAGCACCCUGGCAGGAUCCACACCCAUUUCCAAGGAAGGGUGAAAUUGCUGUUAGGACGUGAAAGCUGGCUGGCUGAAAGCAUGCCAGGCAGGCUAGAGAGAUGAAAAUAAGGAAAUCCAGCUGUGUGCUGAUAACUCAUGUGAUAAAAUUCUGUGAGUCAAUCUGAGCUGAUCUGUCUUCCUGAUAAAAUGCAAUUCCUGGUCAA